rnacentral:misc_RNA from 1 species
UAAUAAGUGUUUUAUGGCACUUUUUAAAUCCAUAUCCACCUUGUGUGCAAUGUCGGUCGAUUUCUUUUUCAUGAGGAUCGACCAAACAUCAACCUUUAUCUUUUAACUCUUUGUCUGAAAAAUAUUAUGAAUAAACAAUUCAAAAUA